rnacentral:rRNA from 1 species
UGGGGAAUAUUGGACAAUGGGGGCAACCCUGAUCCAGCAAUGCCGCGUGUGUGAAGAAGGUCUUCGGAUUGUAAAGCACUUUCGACGGGGACGAUGAUGACGGUACCCGUAGAAGAAGCCCCGGCUAACUUCGUGCCAGCAGCCGCGGUAAUACGAAGGGGGCUAGCGUUGCUCGGAAUGACUGGGCGUAAAGGGCGUGUAGGCGGUUUACACAGUCAGAUGUGAAAUCCCCGGGCUUAACCUGGGAGCUGCAUUUGAUACGUGUAGACUAGAGUGUGAGAGAGGGUUUGUGGAAU